UACAGAGGUGGCAAGCGUUGUUCGGAAUUACUGGGCGUAAAGGGCGCGUAGGCGGCCUUCUAAGUCAGACGUGAAAUCCCCCGGCUUAACCUGGGAACUGCGUCUGAUACUGGGAGGCUAGAGUUCGGGAGAGGGAUGUAGAAUUCCAGGUGUAGCGGUGAAAUGCGUAGAUAUCUGGAGGAAUACCGGUGGCGAAGGCGGCAUCCUGGACCGAAACUGACGCUGAGGCGCGAAAGCUAGGGGAGCAAACAGG
rnacentral:rRNA from 1 species